AGCUGCGUGAGUCUGGGAGAUAUCAGGAGAAGCGGCCAAGCCCGGCAUGUGCAUAGCCUCUUGGCUCCUGCAUCCCCAUGGCCAGCUCUCUCUGCUCCCACAUCACUGGCCGCUAACUCCAAACAAAGACUUGACAUGCUACGUCUUUCAAGAUUCAAAAGCGGAUCCAUGGAUGACCCAGCAUUCAGGAAGCAGAUCGAGCAAGGAGAUUAAGCCGGCCGGGAGGAAGAAGAAGACGAAUACCGGCAAUUAAUCUAAAAUCCAACCAGUUGUCUCUCAGUGGGUGACAUUAAAUUCUAAGCCUGGAGAGUAGUACCAUCUCGGCGCAGGCUGCUGUCGGAGCAUUGGGGGAAGGAACACUGCCGGCAACGUGCUAAUCUGAAUGUGUGACAGUAAGAUUCUGCGUUUUACAGCGCAGCCAUGUGUGCCUGUGUGUGUGUGGGAUAUUCCUUGAGCUUCUUGUUUUGUUGCUCACAGCCAGGCACAGCUACGCAUAUGGCUGGGGUUUUGG